AAAAAAAAAAAAAAAAAAAUGCAUACUGCUAUUACAGCACAAUACCGACAAUCGGAUCACAGUUGAAAGAAAACGAAAAGAAAGGCCCUCUUUAACAAAUUGGCAGAGGCGUGCCUCCCAGGCCUUGAUCCUCACUUCUCUUCUCUCUCAAACUUGUACAGCGGAUAAGACCUGCACUACUUGAUUCUGUUUGGAUUUGCAGGAUUUACAUUCUCAAAAGCUCCUCUUUCAUCCUCAUCAUUUUUUGGCAAGACAGACUUCAACACCAAUCUUGGUGAGGAUGAUUGAAG
rnacentral:misc_RNA from 1 species